GCUGGGCAUGGUAGCGCAUGCCUGUAAUCUCAGCAGCUCAGGAGGCUGAGGCGGGAGGAUCACAAAUUCAAAGCUAGCCUUAGCAAUGGUGAGGUGCUAAGCAACUCAGUGAAACCCUGUUUCUA
rnacentral:sRNA from 1 species